AGAGUUUGAUCAUGGCUCAGGAUGAACGCUAGCUACAGGCUUAACACAUGCAAGUCGAGGGGAAACGAUAUUGGAAGCUUGCUUCCGAUAGGCGUCGACCGGCGCACGGGUGAGUAACGCGUAUCCAACCUGCCCAUCACUUGGGGAUAACCUUGCGAAAGUAAGACUAAUACCCAAUGACGUCUCUAGAAGACAUCUGAAGGAGAUUAAAGAUUUAUCGGUGAUGGAUGGGGAUGCGUCUGAUUAGCUUGUUGGCGGGGUAACGGCCCACCAAGGCAACGAUCAGUAGGGGUUCUGAGAGGAAGGUCCCCCACAUUGGAACUGAGACACGGUCCAAACUCCUACGGGAGGCAGCAGUGAGGAAUAUUGGUCAAUGGGCGAGAGCCUGAACCAGCCAAGUAGCGUGCAGGAAGACGGCCCUAUGGGUUGUAAACUGCUUUUAUAAGGGAAUAAAGUUAGUCUCGUGAGACUUUUUGCAUGUACCUUAUGAAUAGGGACCGGCUAAUUCCGUGCCAGCAGCCGCGGUAAUACGGAAGGUCCGGGCGUUAUCCGGAUUUAUUGGGUUUAAAGGGAGCGUAGGCCGGAGAUUAAGCGUGUUGUGAAAUGUAGACGCUCAACGUCUGCACUGCAGCGCGAACUGGUUUCCUUGAGUACGCACAAAGUGGGCGGAAUUCGUGGUGUAGCGGUGAAAUGCUUAGAUAUCACGAAGAACUCCGAUUGCGAAGGCAGCUCACUGGAGCGCAACUGACGCUGAAGCUCGAAAGUGCGGGUAUCGAACAGGAUUAGAUACCCUGGUAGUCCACGCCGUAAACGAUGAAUGCUAGGUGUAGGAGGUAUCGACCCCUUCUGUGCCGGAGUUAACGCAAUAAGCAUUCCGCCUGGGGAGUACGGCCGCAAGGCUGAAACUCAAAGGAAUUGACGGGGGCCCGCACAAGCGGUGGAGUAUGUGGUUUAAUUCGACGCAACGCGAAGAACCUUACCAGGGCUUGACAUUGAGUGAAAGGACAAGAGAUUGUCCCCUCUCUUCGGAGACACGAAAACAGGUGGUGCAUGGCUGUCGUCAGCUCGUGUCGUGAGAUGUUGGGUUAAGUCCCGCAACGAGCGCAACCCCUAUUCUUUGUUGCCAGCACGUAAUGGUGGGAACUCAAAGGAGACUGCCGCGGACAACGCGGAGGAAGGCGGGGAUGACGUCAAGUCAUCAUGCCCCUUAUGUCCUGGGCUACACACGUACUACAAUGGGAUGGACAGAGAGCAGCGAGGCCGCGAGGCCAAGCGAACCCCAUAAACCAUCUCCCAGUUCGGAUUGCAGGCUGCAACCCGCCUGCAUGAAGUUGGAAUCGCUAGUAAUCGCAGGUCAGCAUACUGCGGUGAAUACGUUCCCGGGCCUUGUACACACCGCCCGUCACACCACGGAAGUCAUUCACACCCGAAGCCGGCAGGCUAACCUUUUGGAGGCAGCCGUCUAAGGUGGGGGCGAUGACUGGGGUGAAGUCGUAACAAGGUA
rnacentral:rRNA from 1 species